AACGCGUAUGCAACCUACCUUUAUCAGGGGGAUAGCCUCUCGAAAGAGAGAUUAACACCGCAUAACAUCAUCGGAUGGCAUCAUCGGAUGAUCAAAUAUUUAUAGGAUAAAGAUGGGCAUGCGUGACAUUAGUUUGUUGGUGAGGUAACGGCUCACCAAGACUACGAUGUCUAGGGGAUCUGAGAGGAUGACCCCCCACACUGGUACUGAGACACGGACCAGACUCCUACGGGAGGCAGCAGUAAGGAAUAUUGGUCAAUGGACGCAAGUCUGAACCAGCCAUGCCGCGUGCAGGAAGACGGCCCUAUGGGUUGUAAACUGCUUUUAUUCGGGAAUAAACCCUUUUACGUGUAAGAGGUUGAAUGUACCGAAGGAAUAAGGAUCGGCUAACUCCGUGCCAGCAGCCGCGGUAAUACGGAGGAUCCAAGCGUUAUCCGGAUUUAUUGGGUUUAAAGGGUGCGUAGGCGGCUUUUUAAGUCAGGGGUGAAAGACGGUGGCUCAACCAUCGCAGUGCCUUUGAUACUGAAGAGCUUGAAUACACUAGAGGUAGGCGGAAUGUGACAAGUAGCGGUGAAAUGCAUAGAUAUGUCACAG
rnacentral:rRNA from 1 species